AUUGAACGCUGGCGGCAUGCCUAACACAUGCAAGUCGAACGGCAGCAUGAUCUGCCUUGCUCGAUUGCUUUCGCGGGGCGCACGUGUGUGUCAUACAUAUGACCUUGCCCUGUGGCGGGGGAUACCUAGUCGAAAGAUUAGCUAAUACCGCAUACAACCUGAGGGUGAAGGUGGGGUAGUGCAAGACCUCAUUCUUUACGCGCAUCCCAGGUCUGAUUAGCUAGUUGGUGAGGUGAAGGCUAACCAAGGCGACGAUCAGUAGCUGGUCUGAGAGGACGAUCAGCCACACUGGAACUGAGACACGGCCCAGACUCCUACGGGAGGCAGCAGUGGGGAAUUUUGGACAAUGGGCGAAAGCCUGAUGCAGCAAUGCCGCGUGUGUGAAGAAGGCCUUCGGGUUGUAAAGCACUGUUGUCCGGAAAGAAAUGGCGCUGGUGAAUACCUGGGGUUGAUGACGGUACCGGAAGAAUAAGGACCGGCUAACUACGUG
rnacentral:rRNA from 1 species